rnacentral:tRNA from 1 species
GGGUUCAUAGCUCAGUGGUAGAGCAAUUGACUGCAGAUCAAUAGGUCAUCGGUUCAAAUCUAGCCUCG